UACAGAGGGUGCGAGCGUUAAUCGGAUUUACUGGGCGUAAAGCGUGCGUAGGCGGCCAAUUAAGUCAAAUGUGAAAUCCCCGAGCUUAACUUGGGAAUUGCAUUCGAUACUGGUUGGCUAGAGUAUGGGAGAGGAUGGUAGAAUUCCAGGUGUAGCGGUGAAAUGCGUAGAGAUCUGGAGGAAUACCGAUGGCGAAGGCAGCCAUCUGGCCUAAUACUGACGCUGAGGUACGAAAGCGUGGGGAGCAAAC
rnacentral:rRNA from 1 species